UGACAAGUACUCAUCACAAGCAUUCCAAAAAUAUAUGAUAUAGGCUACUUAAUGUGAUCUGUCUUCGAGUUACACCCUAUAAACUACCAACACUGUCAAAAGUGUCCGUCAAUGCAAACGGUGGCAUCCUCCUGGCAGAUGGUGUUAUCAAGCACACAGAAGGGUGGAAUAUAGUUUAUUGUACCUUAAAUGACAAGUACUCAUCACAAGCAUUCCAAAAAUGUAUGAUUUAGGCUACUUAAUGUGAUCUGUCUUCGAGUUACACCCUACAAACUACCAACACUGUCAAAAGUGUCAGUCAAUGCAAACGGUCGCGUCCUCCUGGCAGAUGGUGUUAUGAAGCACACAGAAGGGUGGAAUAUAGCUUAUUGUACCUUAAAUGACAAGCACUCAUCACAAGCAUUCCAAAAAUAUAUGAUUUAAAUUACUUAAUGUGAUCUGUCUUCGAGUUACACCCUAAAAACUACCAACACUGUCAAAAGUGUCCGUCAAUGCAAACGGUGGCAUCCUCCUGGCAGAUGGUGUUAUCAAGCACACAGAAGGGUGGAAUAUAGCUUAUUGUACUUUAAAUGACAAGUACUCAUCACAAGCAUUCCAAAAAUAUAUGAUUUAGGCUACUUAAUGUGAUCUGUCUUCGAGUUACACCCUAAAAACUACCAACACUGUCAAAAGUGUCCGUGAAUGCAAACGGUGGCAUCCUCCUGGCAGAUGGUGUUAUCAAGCACACAGAAGGGUGGAAUAUAGCUUAUUGUACUUUAAAUGACAAGCACUCAUCACAAGCAUUCCAAAAAUAUAUGAUUUAAAUUACUUAAUGUGAUCUGUCUUCGAGUUACACCCUAAAAACUACCAACACUGUCAAAAGUGUCCGUCAAUGCAAACGGUGGCAUCCUCCUGGCAGAUGGUGUUAUCAAGCACACAGAAGGGUGGAAUAUAGCUUAUUGUACUUUAAAUGACAAGUACUCAUCACAAGCAUUCCAAAAAUAUAUGAUUUAGGCUACUUAAUGUGAUCUGUCUUCGAGUUACACCCUAAAAACUACCAACACUGUCAAAAGUGUCCGUGAAUGCAAACGGUGGCAUCCUCCUGGCAGAUGGUGUUAUCAAGCACACAGAAGGGUGGAAUAUAGCUUAUUGUACUUUAAAUGACAAGUACUCAUCACAAGCAUUCCAAAAAUAUAUGAUUUAAAUUACUUAAUGUGAUCUGUCUUCGAGUUACACCCUAAAAACUACCAACACUGUCAAAAGUGUCCGUCAAUGCAAACGGUGGCAUCCUCCUGGCAGAUGGUGUUAUCAAGCACACAGAAGGGUGGAAUAUAGCUUAUUGUACUUUAAAUGACAAGUACUCAUCACAAGCAUUCCAAAAAUAUAUGAUUUAGGCUACUUAAUGUGAUCUGUCUUCGAGUUACACCCUAAAAACUACCAACACUGUCAAAAGUGUCCGUGAAUGCAAACGGUGGCAUCCUCCUGGCAGAUGGUGUUAUCAAGCACACAGAAGGGUGGAAUAUAGCUUAUUGUACUUUAAAUGACAAGCACUCAUCACAAGCAUUCCAAAAAUAUAUGAUUUAAAUUACUUAAUGUGAUCUGUCUUCGAGUUACACCCUAAGAACUACCAACACUGUCAAAAGUGUCCGUCAAUGCAAACGGUGGCAUCCUCCUGGCAGAUGGUGUUAUCAAGCACACAGAAGGGUGGAAUAUAGCUUAUUGUACUUUAAAUGACAAGUACUCAUCACAAGCAUUCCAAAAAUAUAUGAUUUAGGCUACUUAAUGAAAUCUGUCUUCGAGUUACACCCUAAAAACUACCAACACUGUCAAAAGUGUCCGUGAAUGCAAACGGUGGCAUCCUCCUGGCAGAUGGUGUUAUCAAGCACACAGAAGGGUGGAAUAUAGCUUAUUGUACUUUAAAUGACAAGUACUCAUCACAAGCAUUCCAAAAAUAUAUGAUAUAGGCUACUUAAUGUGAUCUGUCUUCGAGUUACACCCUAAAAACUACCAACACUGUCAAAAGUGUCCGUCAAUGCAAACGGUGGCAUCCUCCUGGCAGAUGGUGUUAUCAAGCACACAGAAGGGUGGAAUAUAGCUUAUUGUACUUUAAAUGACAAGUACUCAUCACAAGCAUUCCAAAAAUAUAUGAUUUAAAUUACUUAAUGUGAUCUGUCUUCGAGUUACACCCUAAAAACUACCAACACUGUCAAAAGUGUCCGUCAAUGCAAACGGUCGUGUCCUCCUGGCAGAUGGUGUUAUCAAGCACACAGAAGGGUGGAAUAUAGUUUAUUGUACCUUAAAUGACAAGUACUCAUCACAAACAUUCCAAAAAUAUAUGAUUUAAAUUACUUAAUGUGAUCUGUCUUCGAGUUACACCCUAAAAACUACCAACACUGUCAAAAGUGUCCGUCAAUGCAAACGGUGGCAUCCUCCUGGCAGAUGGUGUUAUCAAGCACACAGAAGGGUGGAAUAUAGCUUAUUGUACCUUAAAUGACAAGUACUCAUCACAAGCAUUCCAAAAAUAUAUGAUUUAGGCUACUUAAUAUGAUCUGUCUUCGAGUUACACCCUAAAAACUACCGGUGUUCAAAAGUAUCCGUCAAUGCAAACGGUCACGGCCCACUGGCAGAUGGUGUUAAUAAGCACACAGAAGGGUGGAAUAUAGCUUAUUAUAGCUUAAAUCACAUCUACAUUCUACAGGCAUUCCAAGAAUAUAUGGUUUAGGCUACUUACAUUUAUCUGUCCCCAUGUUACACCCUAAAAGCUACCCGUGUUCAAAAGCAUCCGUCGAUGCAAACGGUCACGGCCCACUGGCAGAUGGUGUUAACAAGCACACAGAAGGGUGGAAUAUAACUUAUUAUAGCUUAAAUCACAUCUACACUCUACAGGCAUUCCAAAAAUAUAUGAUUGAGGCCACUUAAACUGAUCUGUCCCCAUGUUACACCCAGAAUUGGUAAUGCCUUUUUUUCUGUUACUGGUAAUUUAGGCCCAUGGCAUCUUGAGGCCUUUUGGACAGAGGAGAGGACGACCGAGCUGGUUAACCUCUACACAAAUAGAUGCACGUCAAGUGAUGCUUUGGGGAGUGAGACCGCCGGUAUACCCACCUACAGUAUAUUGAUCCUGACAUCAGUGCCAAAUAUUUCUUGAUAAUAAUAAUAAUAAUAAUACCUCAGUUUUUUAUAGCGCUUUUCUGGGUACCCAAAGACGCUUGAUGGCAAUUGGUCGAAAAAAGCACGGGUGUAUCAUGGCCCAAAUAUGCUGAGGAAUGCAGGCUGCCUUGGUGGGCUUAGGAGUUGCCUUUCACUUCAGUCAGUGACGGAAAAGGUCCAGGACGUAAGGCUUUUACAGCUGAAAAGCUGAGACAGCUUGUGCAGUCCUACAAUGCACAUGUCAAUGAUCAGCUGUUUGUUGAGGCAGCGGCAGCAGAUGCAGCACCAACACCACCAGCAGCAGCAGUGGCAGGAGCAGCACCACCAGCACCACCAGCACCACCAGCACUAUAAAUGCCAGCAGCGGCAGAUUAUAAAGAAGGAUAACAAUUAAUACAUGAAAUUAGAGUGGGAAGUUGUGCUUUUAUGUUUCAUGUUUAUGGUUUUAUAUAUAUAUGCACCUUACUUGAGCGUCUCUACAAAUUCAUUAUACUGCAAUGCAAUUACAAUAAAGGCAUUAAUUUGUCA